rnacentral:tRNA from 1 species
GGUUGUAGCUCAGUGGCAGAGCACUUGCCUAGCACAUGCAAGGCACUGGGUUCAAUCCUUAGGACCA